rnacentral:rRNA from 1 species
AACGAACGCUGGCGGCAGGCUUAACACAUGCAAGUCGAGCGCCCCGCAAGGGGAGCGGCAGACGGGUGAGUAACGCGUGGGAAUCUACCCAAUACUACGGAAUAGCUCCGGGAAACUGGAAUUAAUACCGUAUGUGCCCUACGGGGGAAAGAUUUAUCGGUAUUGGAUGAGCCCGCGUUGGAUUAGCUAGUUGGUGGGGUAAUGGCCUAACAAGGCGACGAUCCAUAGCUGGUCUGAGAGGAUGAUCAGCCACACUGGGACUGAGACACGGCCCAGACUCCUACGGGAGGCAGCAGUGGGGAAUAUUGGACAAUGGGCGAAAGCCUGAUCCAGCCAUGCUGCGUGAGUGAUGAAGGCCUUAGGGUUGUAAAGCUCUUUUAGUGGGGAAGAUAAUGACGGUACCCACAGAAAAAGCCCCGGCUAACUUCGUGCCAGCCGCCGCCGUAAUAC